GAUGAAGAACGUAGCGAAAUGCGAUAAGUAAUGCGAAUUGCAGAAUUCCGUGAGUCAUCGAAUCUUUGAACGCACAUUGCGCCCUCUGGUAUUCCGGAGGGCAUGCCUGUCUGAGCGUCAUUGUCAACCCUCAAGCUCAGCUUGCUGUUGGGUCCCCGUCGUUGCUUUAACGGCGGACCCGAAAGGUAAUGGCAGAGUCCGUGAGACCCUAGACGCAGCGAGCUUCUAGCACGCGUCUGGACGUUUUUCGGGCUCGGUCUUAACUAGAUGAUAACUUCCGAUUGACCUCAGAUCAGGUAGGGAUACCCGCUGAACUUAAGCAUAUCAAUAACGGAGGA
rnacentral:misc_RNA from 1 species